rnacentral:rRNA from 1 species
AUACGGAGGGUGCAAGCGUUAAUCGGAAUUACUGGGCGUAAAGCGUGCGCAGGCGGUUUGUUAAGUCAGAUGUGAAAGCCCCGGGCUCUACCUGGGAACUGCAUUUGAAACUGGCAAACUAGAGUGUGGUAGAGGGAAGUGGAAUUCCUCAUGUAGCGGUGAAAUGCGUAGACAUGAGGAGGAACACCAGUGGCGAAGGCGACUUCCUGGACCAACACUGACGCUCAUGUACGAAAGCGUGGGUAGCAAACAGGAUUAGAAACCCUAGUAGUCC